rnacentral:lncRNA from 1 species
CUGUCAUGUAUGAAUCACAUACUGGAAACAGUAUAAGAAAUCUGCUGUUUUCUCUCUCCAUUAUGAACUUCUAAUUACUAAAACGACAUUAAACCCUGGAAUUUAUGAAUAUUUGAAACACUUGGAUUUUCUGAAACAAAUAUGAAAUUCACAAAAGGGAUAAGGAAGUUGUUAAUUUUGCAAGGUACUCCAGAUGUUUAGGCUUCAAGGCAUCAUUGGCAGAUUACUCCUGAAGAAAGACAAGUUCAGGGUAUGCUGGUUUCAGCUUUGGACAAAGUAUUAAUCCAAGACAAGAACAUAGAUGGCGCUUUUGCCCUGUUGACCCCUUUGCCACCUGCUCCCUCCAGGAGAGAACCUUGGUGGUGAAACAGCUAAUGGUUCACAUCCUUUGGCCCACCGUGAUGUGCUUCAGAAAACUACUCAUUUGAGCGACAUAUAAAUUACUAAUGAUGUAUGAAUUAUGAUUACAAUCAUUUGAAACAUGGAUAGAAGUGUAACCAAGCACCAGAAACGCCUGUAGAAAAUCAAAGAUAGUUUUGUUAUGAAGUGGCCCUGUGGAUAGGGCAUUUCCUUUUUCAAAAUGCUUCUUGUUUCAUACAUCUCCUUUUGGGGAAAGUAUUGCUACUAUUCAUAGUGAACUGGCUAGACAAACCACUGCACGUGCAUGCAAAGACACACACAAAGACACACCCACACACAGUUCAAUUCAAUCGAAUGGUAGGUGUUUCCCCUACGUGUCUCCAGACAAUUCGUACUUUUACACACAUUUGAAAGUUUUAACAUUAUUUUUUGGUCCACAAGAGGUUUUUUUUUUUUUUUUUCCUUUUGAACACAAGUAGCCUGGCAGCAAAUAUCUAAAAAUUAUGCAACAGACAUAGUUUUUAUUCCAUGUGUGGAGCAUCUGCCAGAAACUCCAGAGCAGGAGGAGGGGUGAUGCUUUGUGUUUCAUCUCAAGAAGCAGGAGCCGCCUUCCAGUUUUGGGUAACCCCUGGCCCAGCAUGGUGGUGGGGAUGAAAAGCUGGGGAGGUGAAGCUCUAGCACUGACCAGAGCAAGGAAAGGGAAAAAUUCACAUACGAAAUCUUUUGAAAAUGCUGUUGUUGAAAAUAUUACUAUUGUUUUGUAUUCCACUAUGUGAUCCUAGGUUAUGAGUAAAACAAUGGAUAACUCAUGGCCCCCAACUCCCAUGAAUUAGUGAAAAACGUUGAUAUCUUUUUCAACCUAAAAUUCAAGAUGCAGCAUAUUAUAUGAACAUUGCUCUACUAAUAAAGAUAAAAAUUGCUA